rnacentral:misc_RNA from 1 species
UGAUGAUGUUUAUCUGCGUACUACGUAAAUAUAGGCCAAUUGGGCAAUAGUCCAAAUGUUUACGUUUAUGUUUAAUCUUGGAUGAUAAAGUCCAAGUAUCUGAGACUGGGUAAAUUAUAGUCAUAAGGCAAAGUUAAGGUAAAUUACAAUAUUUUACAUUAUUUGUUGAGGUGGACAUGGCUUGUAGAUUCAUCAUCAUCGAAGGGGGCCUGUUGCUGUUGCUGGUUCAUUACUUCACUAUGACUUAUCACCUGAGAAUAAGAUUAAAUUGAGUUGAAAACUUGAUGAGGAACAUCAUCGAGAUUUAAAAAUUGAUGGGAAGCCAACAACCUUGAUUUUGAAAAAUUGAUGGGGAACAUCAAUUAAGGAGGCUGCUGAGGAAGAGAGAAAUAGUGGGACAACAUAGACGGAGGAGGAGGCAAGCAGGCAACCUAGUGGAUUGUGGUGAUGUUGGAAUGGACGUUAGUGAGAAUGGGCUAGGCAAUUGUGUUCGAGCAGAGAGGGAGGAGCAAGAGCUUGGCUAGUAGUUGGAGUUAGUGGGUUUGUCAGGGAAAGGGCUGCUGGGGUUGAUGGAUUUGAG